AUUCCAGCUCCAAUAGUGUAUAUUAAAGUUGUUGCAGUUAAAAAGCUCGUAGUUGGAUUUCUGGCGGGAGCGAUCGGUCCUUCACUCAGUGUUGGAACCUGAUUGUCUCCUGCCAUCCAUGGAGAAAACUUAUCUGGCAUUAAGUUGUCGGGUAGGCAAUCUCCAUCUUUUACUGUGAAAAAAUUAGAGUGUUCAAAGCAGGCUUAUGCCGUUGAAUAUAUUAGCAUGGAAUAAUGGAAUGGGACUUUUGUCCAUUUGGUUGGUUAUUGGACAUGAGUAAUGAUUAACAGGGACAGUUGGGGGCAUUAGUAUUUAAUUGUCAGAGGUGAAAUUCUUGGAUUUAUUAAAGACUAACUUAUGCGAAAGCAUUUGCCAAGGAUGUUUUCAUCA
rnacentral:rRNA from 1 species